CCCACCGCGCGCCAGAUAUCUGCUACAUCUCAGUUACCGACAGCUAAACUAUCCGUCGCGCAACCGCGCCAUCCUAGGAAGCCAUACUUACCAUCAGACUUACCAUAAAAGAUAAGUCCGAUAUCCAAUACUAUUCACGGAAAGGUAAUUAUAAACGGACAAAUAAGACCCCAGACGGAUUAAAAUCAUGAAUAAAUCAAUUAAUAAAACAUUACCACGACUCACGGGAAAGGUAAUUAUUAAAGCAAACGGGCAACAAAUAGAACCCCAGACGGAUUAAAAUCAAGAAUAAAUCAAUUAAUAAAACAAUACCACGGCUAUCAUUUAUUAUUUAUAAAUAUAUAAAUCAUACGUUUGCAAUAGUGUAGGAUGAAGUAAAUGUUAAGUAUAAACAAUGAUGAAGAUAGAAUGAAAUGAAAGAAAUGAAAUCAACCCGAAUAAGAUCCGCAGAUUGCAGGACGCAUCAUGUUACUGCCUAUCGCGCCGCAGGAAACAAACUACGCAGAACAACGAAACAAAGAAACCACCACAGAACGAAAGGCUGAAUAAAUAAACGAAUGAAACAUUCAACCUAAACAGAAUCGAAAUCAAAUAUAGCCAUCUCACAACGUCAGAUAACGCAUGGAGUCAGGAAAGUCACGUAGGACCAAUCAUGUAACACCCAGUCAGUUAAUAAAUAAAUGUAACCAAAGUAGAAUCAAAGCAACCAAGGCAGCAGGUAACUAGCAGAAAGGAAAUAUAAAAGAAAAGAAGAGAAAAGAAACAAACAAGGAACAGCACACCGUCAUCAAAGAGCUAUACUAUUAUCGAAGAGAAACGGCUUGAAUAAAUUGAAUUAAAGAAUACCAGAGAAGAAUAUCAAAAUGUCAAAAUGUCCAAGGAAUGUCCAAGGAUAGAGGUGACAAGAAAUAAAAUAAAAUAAAUGAUGAACUUUGUACCAUCGUGAGUCAAAAUAAACUAAAUCUUAACAGUUACCUUGAUUCAAUUUAAUUCAGAAUGAAUGAACAAUGACAGCAUGAAAUGAACGACUGAACAAUGAAAUAAUCAAUUAAAGAUAUUAAGAAGAAUGAGGUAAAUAAUGAGGUAAAUAAUAAAUAAUAAGCAUAAAGUAAAAGUGAAGGCCGUAACCAACCUAAUGUAAAUAAUGUAAUGUAAUGCACUGUAAUAUAAGUAAUGCAAUAUAAUGCAAAACAGAAUGCAAUAAUAAACUGAAUACAAAAUACAAAAUA